UUCUUCGCUGGCUGUUUGUCCCUUGGUCUGCAGACCUCCACUCUUUCUCUUGCCCUUCCCCUAACCCUGACUCUCUCUCACAAAUCUCUUCCGGAAGAAAUCAGAUAAUGGAGCCUAUCUCACAGAGCCAUUCUGAGAGGGAGGAGGUAGCUGCUUUCAGAAGUCCCCCCCCCCCCCUCCGCUGAGCUGACCCAGGAGUGUGAGCAAAGGUCGGGGCCAGGCCCCAUGAUGCUAACUAGAGAUCCUGAGGGACAUCAGUGUUGUAACUUAUGUGCUAAUCGGCCCAAGGUUGGGCAACUUCUCUCCGGAGAGGAAGGAAAGAAGCUUCCAGAUGAACUGACACAUGAAAAGGCCCGGCAGCUUGGCCUUUUCAUGAUUUGGCUCUGGCAUCCCUGCCGGCCCGUGUAACCUCUGAUUACUCCACUUCCUCAGCUAUAAAAUGGAGGCGCCGCUUCCUACCCAGCAUCACAGGAUGCUGUGAAGAGCAGCCAACGCUGACUGGACAAGCAGUCUGCAGCAAACAGAGCCCCAAAGCUCGGUUCGAAAAGGUUCAGCUCACACUGUGACCCUGCACGGCUUCCUGCUAUUCAUAUGUGUUACUUCCCCUUUGUGGUAAUGGCUUGUGGCACUUGGCCAGAAAACAUUAUUAAUUUCAGAAGUGGACUGACAAAACAACAAACGCACAGUGGAACAAGAGGAAGUGCUGCGGAGGCCAGCUGUCCGGGUUGAGCCCAGCGGUAGGAACUCGGGUGGAUGCAAGUUCUGGAAGGAACAGAGAUGAUCCACGAAGAGGGAGACACACUCAAAUUACCCGCACCCCAGCCCCCUUUAAUAUAAAAAAAAAAAGAAAUGAGAGAGAAGAAAUCAGAGAAAAGGAAAGAAAGCAGUCAGCUACUUGAGCUGCAGCGAGACAGCAACCACUGCUUGCAAAUGCCAGGAGCCAGGACCGGAAACUCUUCAGAACCGGAAACUCUUCAGAACCCGGAUGAACGGGAGCCAAGUUGAACUGCGGUCCAUUUCUGCUUUGUGUUCCUGCUGACUUGGGACACCCAAAUAGAGCCUGGCUUGAUUAUUUUUCUGGUUCCCCCCCCCCACCCCCACCCCCUUGGAGUUAGUCGCUUAAAAAAAGUCACUCCCAGAAGACAAGUUGACACAACUGCUUGUCGAAUGAAAAUCCACUUGCCAACUACACGUAGACUGUCAGGUAGCACAAGAGUCAUCUCCCAUGAUGCUGGGCUGAAAAGCAUCUUUUUUUCCCACUUCAAAAUGAUGGAGCUCAGGCGUGAUAUCCCAAAACACAUCCUAGCACUUCUGGUACUAAUGCAUGCCUCCUCCUCUUAAUUUAGUGUGCCUACUUCUGAGCUCAGAAAAAGGCCUUCAGAAGAAUAAGAGGAUGCCUAAGCCUUUGGCUCAGAGGAAAACUUAAAAACCAUCUAUAACUAAGAUUCAAUGGUGGUUCUGGCCUACGUCCUAAAAUAGCUAAGCACAAAAGCAGACUUAAAUUGGCAACAAAAGAUUUCACCCAGCAGAGUGAACAUUCAAACAUAAAAACCACAUGCAAGUCCAUGAGAAAGCCAACAUACCAUUACAAUGUCCUGAGAAUCAAAGAGAGAAAGGGACCCAGGAUAGCUCAUGCUAGGAUCAUUCUGGUCAGAACUAGACAUCCUGGAAAAAAUUAUUCUACUUCCUUCCUGGCAUGCCCAAGGAUUAUGGAGUGGAGGACUCUGGAAGACAGAGGUUAACAUGUGGCUGCCAUUAUCCUGGGACAGCCUUCUGGGGGCCAUGCCAUUUGUGAAUAUCCAAACUUUAUAUUUCAACAAUGUUUAUACUGUGGGCUUCACUUCUCCGGGAAGGGUUUAAAUAAAAAAAAAUCUUAAUGAAGCCUGAAGGCUUAUCUGUAUUGCAAGAAGUGGUCAGUCUACCCUAUGAGGUCUUAACUUGAAACAAAAUUUCAGACCUCAUCUGAAAGACAUGAGUAGUAUAACCUUGCUACCCCUACCAGCUCUGCCAAUCACCCCUUAAGUGUGUAACUUCAUAGACUGAGACACUUAAAAAUAAAAACACGCUCAAUAGCCAAAAUAGUUAUUUAUUAAUAAUUUAAGGUUUUACAUUCUUAUAAUAAAUUCCAGCUCAAAACUUUACACCACGAACAUCAUGGAGCAAGUUAAUUCUCCCUUCCUCUCAACCUGUUGCAUCCACCAAAUGGGCGCUCAUACUCGCACACAUACACACACUUCCAGUUUCGUAUUUUUUUUUAAAAGGAAAGAAACCAACCCAAAGUAUUGCAUUUGAGGUGACACUCCCUGAAGAAUUUUGUACAGAGGUAAUAUGCUGUUUAGCACAGCUGAAGUUAUUUAAAAAAAAAAAAAAAA